AAGAAUGGAAUUGACUACUAAGAGAAAGAGCGCUUUCACACCUGAUUUAGACCCAUAGGAGUUAGCCGGGGAAGUGAGUCUUGUUUUCGGAAACUAGUAGUAGCUUCUUGGCCCUGGUUUAUUCUAUUCCCUUUGUCCGUUAGCGAGCGAAACACCAUUACUUGUUAGAAGCUGUGCUACGUUUCCUGCAGGAAGCCGCUUUGAAACAACAAGCAAAGUAGCGGGAACAAGACAAGCAAGGGCUAUAACUCCACAAGCAAUGCAGGGGAAGAAAUAAGGUCGGAGUGCCUAUCUUCAACAAGACGUGGUGCGCUAACAGAGAAGAGAGAAAAUGAUUUGUUGCGGGAAGGAACUGAAGUGAAGGUACGAAUCAAUUCUAUCUCAAGCUUUAUCGAGAAAGUAUCAAGGAACAGUCAAAAAAGAAAGUAGGGAAGAUCAUCUCGAAGAGAAGAAUGCCCACCCGCCAAGUCCUUCUCUUGGGAGUCCUAAUCUAGAGCGGCAGUAGCUAGUGAGCCCCACUAAUUGAAGUAGUUUAUCAUCUUUGUUUCUCAAUUCCAACUGUGUGAGUAUUCGUUGCUUGCCCUCGAAAGAUUCCUGUCCUGGUUGACUCGGUAUCAGGGUUUACUGUUCGGUAAGAAAGGGAAUCCGGGUUGACUGUUCCUUAAAGUAGUAUUGGAUAGAGAAACCCUUCUGUUAAGGUAUAGAAUGCAGUUGACUAAACUCUAGUAGUAGCAGCCCAGUAGUGAAUGGUUUGAGUUUCAGACCUGAUUGAGAGUUUCAUCCCGAGUUCAUCCUAGUCUCUAAGAGAAGUAUCCGGUAG
rnacentral:lncRNA from 1 species